GCCUGUUGAUGAUUUUGUUGCCAGAACCCACAGUGAAACGAUCAGAAAAGGCACUUAGGUAUAUCCUAACAUUAAAUUACUUGAGCACUUUCAGGCAACCGGCACAGACGCAACGGCUGCAGGAUGCAUUUUUAAAAUCGCGUCAUACGCAAAACGCAAGAUUCACAGAGUGCUGAGUCGUGUCGGAUCACUCAGCUCACCUGAGGAGAUUUCUCGACAUGGAAGACCGACGGAUAACAGAUUAACCUGCUGCUGCAUUUCCUCAACAAGGUAGGACAGUAAAUAUGAAAGAAAUGUGGAUAAUGUAACAAGAUUGUCAGGGCAUGUCAGCAACUAGGCAACAGAACAGUCCGUUGACGAUAAAGUAUUAUGUCCCAAGUCUAGUAUGUACACUUUUGUUACACACUUUCUUCACAAAAAGUAAUACUUUUAGGACGUGGAAACUGGGACACAUCUCUUUUCUAGAGCCAAAGGCACCUCACAAAACUUUAUUUGAUCAUUCUAGCAGUUUUUAUCGAGUACAAUAUAAAUAUGGUAGAGUACAGUAUCUCAACACAACCAUAUUACUGCAAUCAAUGCAAUAUCUCAAACAUUUAACCCAUGGGUUGGGCCUAUACAUACAUUACCUUUUGUAAUGUAUGUAUAGCUUUAGUAACUGUGAUGACAUUGAGAGGUAAGGGGUUAAUGCGACCCAUGAUGCUUUACGAGUUCUACACAUGUUUCCAGCUAGAAUAAAGGUGAUCCUGUUGCUCAAGUGUGUUCAUUAAACUAUUACAUCUUUCUAACUUUUAUCUAAUGUUUACUUUGCAAAUCUAUUUACAGGGUGGGCUAUUUAUAUGGGUAAACCUUAAUAAAAUGGGAAUGGUUAGUGAUAUUAACGUCAUGUUUGUGGCACAUUAGUAUAUGUGAGGAGGCAAACUUUUUUAGAUGGGUGGUGAUCAUGGUGGUUAUUUUGAAGUCGGCCUACUUGGAUCCAACUUUUGUUUUUUCA